CGAUGUUCUGUUUUCAGUACUUGGUCCAAAUUCUGUGCAUCUCUCUGGAUAUUACCUCCAGAGCAGCACUAGCAAUAUCAAUAUUGCACUAGACAAAAAAUCAUCAGAAUCUUAUGAAGAAGAUAUUGAAGCGUCUGAUAGCGAGUAUAUUUCCGAGAGUGAUGAGGAAAGUUAUGAAUCUGACUUCAUUGAUGACGGUGACCUUGAAGUAUUUGACAAAAAAUAUGAUUUAGAUUCUGAUGAUCAUGAUGUCUGCUCCUUCCCUGGUCACCGCCAACAAGCAUUUGAACUGCAGCGACAUUCAGAGAAGAAGAAGCACCCAGCUGACAACUCCGCUAGCAGCAACAGCAGUGAAGAUGAAUUUUUUUCGAGCAGGA